AUUCCAGCUCCAAUAGCGUAUAUUAAAGUUGUUGUGGUUAAUUAGCUCGUUGUUGGUUUUCUUCUUUCUUCUUUCUUUUUUCUUUCUCUUCUUCCUGCCCUCUCGUCCGUAGUUUUGCCAGAGGUUUCGAGGUGCUCUUAAUCGAGUGUCCCGGGAUGCUGGCAGGUUUACUUUGAAAAAAUUAGAGUGCUCAAAGCAGGCUAUUACGCCUGAAUAUUCGUGCAUGGAAUAAUAGAAUAGGAAGUCGUUUCUAUUUUGUUGGUUUUCGGAAAUCGACUUAAUGAUUAAUAGGGACAGUCGGGGGCAUUUGUAUUCAAACGACAGAGGUGAAAUUCUUGGACCGUUUGAAGACAAACUACUGCGAAAGCAUUUGCCAAGAAUGUUUUCAUUA
rnacentral:rRNA from 1 species